CAGGCCAGCAGUGAAAAUUCAUGUUAGCACCAUGAAACUGAUUUAAUAGAUAAUGUUGAAAUGACCUACUUAGCACAAUUAUAUGAAGUGGCUGAUUGCCACUUAAACCAUCUUACUGUAAUCAUCGUCUUACUAACAAAAACAUUUUUUUAUUUUCUUGUCCUGACAUAAGCCGGUUUCAUUUAUGUUAGCUUAAGAAAGACGUCAAAUUCAGCAAGUUCAUAACAGUUAAAUAAUAUAAAACCACUUCUUACUUGUGAAAUAUUAUCCCUUGUUUCUUGAUUUUGGUGUUUCUUUCACAGGAACAUCCGUAUGCAGCACAAAAAUCUAGUAUUUUGGUUUCACAAACACAGUCUGACUGAUCUGACCGGGUCUGAAACCCCGGCCCAAGAUGGUGGCCAUGUUGGUGUGCCUGAAAAGCCCAAAUGCAGCAUCUACAUGUAUAUAUCUAUGGUGAAAAUGGUCCCCCUCUAACAGUUUCCUGCUGCGGGUUUAGUGGUGCAGCAGUGAAAACGGCCCCCCCUCUAACAGUUUUCUACUGCGGGUUUAGUGGUGCAGCAGU